UAGCCUCUGGCUAUAGGAAAUUGUUAGUGGCAGACGGGUGAGUAAUGCGUAGGAAUCUACCUAGUAGUACGGAAUAGCCAUUAGAAAUGGUGGGUAAUACUGUAUAAUCCCCGAGGGGGAAAGAUUUAUCGCUAUUAGAUGAGCCUACGUUAGAUUAGCUAGUUGGUGAGGUAAUGGCUUACCAAGGCUAUGAUCUAUAGCUGGUCUGAGAGGACGAUCAGCCACACUGGAACUGAGAUACGGUCCAGACUCCUACGGGAGGCAGCAGUGGGGAAUAUUGGACAAUGGGCGAAAGCCUGAUCCAGCUAUGCCGCGUGAGUGAAGAAGGCCUUCGGGUUGUAAAACUCUUUCAAUAGGGAAGAUAAU
rnacentral:rRNA from 1 species